rnacentral:rRNA from 1 species
AGUGAACGCUGGCGGUAGGCCUAACACAUGCAAGUCGAACGGCAGCACAGUAUGAGCUUGCUCUUACGGGUGGCGAGUGGCGGACGGGUGAGGAAUACAUCGGAAUCUACUUUUUCGUGGGGGAUAACGUAGGGAAACUUACGCUAAUACCGCAUACGACCUACGGGUGAAAGCAGGGGAUCUUCGGACCUUGCGCGAUUGAAUGAGCCGAUGUCGGAUUAGCUAGUUGGCGGGGUAAAGGCCCACCAAGGCGACGAUCCGUAGCUGGUCUGAGAGGAUGAUCAGCCACACUGGGACUGAGACACGGCCCAGACUCCUACGGGAGGCAGCAGUGGGGAAUAUUGGACAAUGGGCGCAAGCCUGAUCCAGCCAUACCGCGUGGGUGAAGAAGGCCUUCGGGUUGUAAAGCCCUUUUGGUGGGAAAGAAAAGCAGCAGGUUAAUACCCCGCUGUUCUGACGGUACCCGAAGAAUAAGCACCGGCUAACUUCGUG